rnacentral:rRNA from 1 species
UACGUAGGUCCCGAGCGUUGUCCGGAUUUAUUGGGCGUAAAGCGAGCGCAGGUGGUUUAAUAAGUCUGAUGUAAAAGGCAGUGGCUCAACCAUUGUGUGCAUUGGAAACUGGUAGACUUGAGUGCAGGAGAGGAGAGUGGAAUUCCAUGUGUAGCGGUGAAAUGCGUAGAUAUAUGGAGGAACACCGGUGGCGAAAGCGGCUCUCUGGACUGUAACUGACACUGAGGCUCGAAAGCGUGGGUAGCAAACAGG